ACUUUUAACGGUGGAUCUCUUGGCUCGUGCAUCGAUGAAGAACGCAGCCAGGUGCGAUAAGUAGUGUGAAUUGCAGAAUUCAGUGAAUCAUCGAAUCUUUGAACGCAAAUGGCGCUCUUGGGUUUUCCCAGGAGCAUGUCUGUCUGAGUGUCGGUUUCCAAAAAGAGAACUCUCUCUUCUAAUCCCAGAUUAGGGACAGAGUUGUGUUGAGGUGUCGUGGUGGUUGCACACCGCGUCCCUUCAAAAGCAUAUGUGGGAUCCGUGUCGCGACAAUUCUAUCGCGUGCUCGGGAAGGCCAAAAGUCCAAUUCUUUUGCGAGUCCUUGCUGUGUGCGGAUAGAUCGCGGAUAGCGGAGCCUCUCGGCAAAGCAAAUGACAGAUGUCAUUUUUCACGUUGACCUCAGAUCAGGCAAGGCAACCCGCUGAAUUUAAGCAUAUUAAUAAGCGGAGGAAAAGAAACUAACAAGGAUUCCCCUAGUAAUGGCGAAUGAAGCGGGAACAGCUCAAAUUUGAAAUCUCCGUUGCUUGCAACGGCGAAUUGUAGUUUCGAGAAGCACUUUCUCGGCGGAUCCGAGGUCGUCCAAGUUGCUUGGAACAGCACGUCGUAGAGGGUGACAACCCCGUCUGCGGCGACCUCGGCCGUUCACGAUGUGCUUUCGACGAGUCGGGUUGUUUGGGAAUGCAGCCCAAAAUGGGUGGUAAACUCCAUCUAAAGCUAAAUAUUGGCACGAGACCGAUAGCGAACAAGUACCUUGAAUGAAAGAUGAAAAGCACUUUGAAAAGAUAGUUAAAAAGUACGUGAAACCGUUAAAAGGGAAACGAAUGGGGUUAGCAAUGCGUCGUGCGAGAUUCAGCCGGUGGGUGGGCCAGGCGGGCGGUUGGCGGAUCUGAAUGGACCGCUGCCGUUCGGGUUGGUUUCCCGACCGUCGCACUUCUCGCAGGCGCGCGCCAACGUCGGUUAGGGCUGGGUUUCAAAGGCGGUGGAAAGGUAGGUUUGGACUCUCGGGCCCGAACUGUUGCAGUCCUCCGUUUGUCAUGGCCCGGACCUGACCGAGGAGCUUGCGGUGCAUGCCGUUCGGCUAGGGUCCCGUCUUCCCGGUCGGUCGUCGAAUGCGGUGGACUGCGUGCAGUGCGCCGCGACUGCUGCCGGUCGCGAGGGCGGUGAUUUCGUACUAUGCACCCACGACGUUGGCGAUCAUAUGGCCUCAUCCGACCCGUCUUGAAACACGGACCAAGGAGUCUAACAUGUGUGCGAGUCUUUGAGUGAUCGAAACUCCGAGGCGAAAUGAAAGUGAAGGCGACUUCGGUCGCUGAGGUGAGAGCCUUUUACAAAAAAAAGGCGCAUCAUUGACCGACCUAUUCUACUCUUAGAAAGGUUUGAGUAAGAGCGCAUCUGUUGGGACCCGAAAGAUGGUGAACUAUGCCUGAAUAGGGUGAAGCCAGAGGAAACUCUGGUGGAGGCUCGUAGCGAUUCUGACGUGCAAAUCGAUCGUCAAAUUUGGGUAUAGGGGCGAAAGACUAAUCGAACUGUCUAGUAGCUGGUUCCCUCCGAAGUUUCCCUCAGGAUAGCUGGAACUUACGGCAGUUUUAUCAGGUAAAGCGAAUGAUUAGAGGUCUUAGGGUUAAAACAACCUUAACCUAUUCUCAAACUUUAAAUUGGUAAGAAGUCCGACUUGCUUAAUUGAAGCCGGACAGUGAAUGCGAGUUCCUAGUGGGCCAUUUUUGCUAAGCAGAACUGGCGAUGCGGGAUGAACCGAACGCGCGGUUAAGGUGCCAAAGUCGACGCUCAUCAGACCCCACAAAAGGUGUUGGUUGCUCUAGACAGCAGGACGGUGGCCAUGGAAGUUGGAAUCCGCUAAGGAGUGUGUAACAACUCACCUGCCGAAGCAACUAGCCCUGAAAAUGGAUGGCGCUCAAGCGUCGCACCUAUACCGUGCCGUCGGAGCAGAUGCGAAGCUCCGACGAGUAGGAGGGCGUGGGGGUCGUGACGCAGCCUCUGGCGCGAGCCUGGGUGAAACGGCCUCCAGUGCAGAUCUUGGUGGUAGUAGCAAAUAUUCAAAUGAGAGCUUUGAAGACCGAAGUGGAGAAAGGUUCCAUGUGAACAGCAGUUGGACAUGGGUUAGUCGAUCCUAAGAGAUAGGGAAAUUCCGUUUGCAAGCGCCCGAUCUUGGGCCGCCUAUCGAAAGGGAAU
rnacentral:rRNA from 1 species